UGUGUACUCCCUCCGUCCGAAAAAACUUGUCCCAUACUUGUUCCCCAAACGAAUGUAUCUAGCACUAACUUGGUGUUACAUACAUCCAUUUGAGAGACAAACUUUUUCGGAUGGAGGGAGUAUAUA
rfam:Triticum aestivum genome assembly, contig: Triticum_aestivum_CS42_TGACv1_scaffold_642350_T_1BL-0.078550_3DS-0.066024